rnacentral:rRNA from 1 species
ACGCUCGACACCUACGGGGGCAGCAGUGAGGAAUAUUGGUCAAUGGGCGCUAGCCUGAACCAGCCAAGUAGCGUGAAGGAUGAAGGCUCUAUGGGUCGUAAACUUCUUUUAUAUAAGAAUAAAGUGCAGUAUGUAUACUGUUUUGUAUGUAUUAUAUGAAUAAGGAUCGGCUAACUCCGUGCCAGUAGCCGCGGUAAUCUGAGCGGGCUGGCAAGGC